rnacentral:rRNA from 1 species
UACGGAGGAUCCAAGCGUUAUCCGGAAUCAUUGGGGUUAAAGGGUCCGUAGGCGGUUUUGUAAGUCAGUGGUGAAAGCCCAUCGCUCAACGGUGGAACGGCCAUUGAUACUGCAAGACUUGAAUUACUAGGAAGUAACUAGAAUAUGUAGUGUAGCGGUGAAAUGCUUAGAUAUUACAUGGAAUACCAAUUGCGAAGGCAGGUUACUACUAGUGGAUUGACGCUGAUGGACGAAAGCGUGGGGAGCGAACAGG